UCAUUGAUGAUGGCUCUCUCAUAUGCAUUCCUUAGAAAAGUGAGCAAAAGGAGUAAUAAAUCUAUUAAAUUUUUUAAAUUUAAGAAAGAACA
ensembl:snoRNA SNORD116 Small nucleolar RNA SNORD116